rnacentral:rRNA from 1 species
GUUGACCUCGGAUCAGGUAGGAAUACCCGCUGAACUUAAGCAUAUCAAUAAGCGGAGGAAAAGAAACCAACAGGGAUUGCCUUAGUAACGGCGAGUGAAGCGGCAAUAGCUCAAAUUUGAAAUCUGGCGCUUGCGUCCGAGUUGUAAUUUGUAGAGGAUGAUUUUGGUUAGGUACCUUUCGAGUUCCUUGGAACAGGACGCCUUAGAGGGGUGAGAGCCCCGUACGAUUGGAUGCCGAGCCUCUGUAAAUCUCCUUCGACGAGUCGAGUAGUUUGGGAAUGCUGCUCUAAAUGGGAGGUAAAUUUCUUCUAAAGCUAAAUACCGGCCAGAGACCGAUAGCGCACAAGUAGAGUGAUCGAAAGAUGAAAAGCACUUUGAAAAGAGGGUUAAAUAGCACGUGAAAUUGUUGAAAGGGAAGGAUUUAUGACCAGACUUUUUCUAGGAGAAUCAUCCGGUGUUCUCACCGGUGCACUUCUUUUAGUUUAGGCCAGCAUCGACUUUCGGCGGUGGAUAAAAGCUUUAGGAAUGUGGCUUCCCUCGGGAAGUGUUAUAGCCUAUUGUAUAAUACACUGCUGGGGGUCGAGGUACGCGCUUCUGCAAGGAUGCUGGCGUAAUGGUUAUCAAUCACCCGUCUUGAAACACGGACCAAGGAGUCGAACAUUUGUGCGAGUGUUUGGGUGUUAAACCCUCACGCGUAAUGAAAGUGAACGGAGGUGAGAGCCCUUACGGGUGCAUCAUCGACCGAUCCUGAUGUUUUCGGAUGGAUUUGAGUAAGAGCAUAAAUGUUCGGACCCGAAAGAUGGUGAACUAUGCGUGGAUAGGGUGAAGCCAGAGGAAACUCUGGUGGAGGCUCGCAGCGGUUCUGACGUGCAAAUCGAUCUGUACAAA